UCUGUAGGUGGUUUAAUAAGUCAACUGUUAAAUCUUGAGGCUCAACCUCAAAAUCGCAGUCGAAACUAUUAGACUAGAGUAUAGUGGGGGUAAAGGGAAUUUCCAGUGGAGCGGUGAAAUGCGUAGAUAUUGGAAGGAACACCGAUGGCGAAGGCACUUUACUGGGCUAUUACUAACACUCAGAGACGAAAGCUAGGGUAGCAAAUG
rnacentral:rRNA from 1 species